rnacentral:lncRNA from 1 species
CAUACAGCCCUACCAUAAAUCACAGUUAAAUGAUUACAUUCCACCAGAAUAACUGCUGAAAGAAUAAACUUCCAGCCAACAGGGAGGCUAUGCUAACAGAAUGAAAACUCCAUUCAUUAACAUGGUGACUCUACUCAGCUGUGUGCCCCAUGAUAGAGUUAAACAAUAGGAAAAGGUGAACCAUCGUUGCCAAGUACCCUGAUCUGUAGCAGCUGUUAAUAAAGGUGGGGGUAUUAAGGCACUAUUUCUAUUGCCUUACAUCUGUAGUUUCCGUGCAAGGUGUGAGGUUGAAGCAUUAUCAGUGGAGCUAAUACCAUGAGUAGAAAAAGACGUUGCAGGAUGCUUCAAGCAAGGGAGGAAUCUGAACAGCGGCAAUGCUGCCCAGAAGAACCAGUAGAGAUUGAGCUUGGUUUAUUUAAAAGACAUCCCUGACUUGAAGAUGUUUACAGGCCAACUAGGCAGAACGGACAAAGGCUAAGGGGAAGUAAAAGACAAGAGAAAUGGCAUGAUCUGUUCAAAAAGAGACAGCAGGA